AGAGUUUGAUCAUGGCUCAGAACGAACGCUGGCGGCAGGCCUAACACAUGCAAGUCGAGCGGGGGGAGCAAUCCCUAGCGGCGGACGGGUGAGUAACGCGUGGGAACGUACCCUUUGCUUCGGAAUAGCCCCGGGAAACUGGGAGUAAUACCGGAUGUGCCCUACGGGGGAAAGAAUUUCGGCAAAGGAUCGGCCCGCGUUGGAUUAGGUAGUUGGUGGGGUAAUGGCCUACCAAGCCGACGAUCCAUAGCUGGUUUGAGAGGAUGAUCAGCCACACUGGGACUGAGACACGGCCCAGACUCCUACGGGAGGCAGCAGUGGGGAAUCUUAGACAAUGGGCGCAAGCCUGAUCUAGCCAUGCCGCGUGAGCGAUGAAGGCCUUAGGGUUGUAAAGCUCUUUCGUGGGGGAAGAUAAUGACGGUACCCCAAGAAGAAGCCCCGGCUAACUACGUG
rnacentral:rRNA from 1 species